CACGUAGGGGGGCAAGCGUUGUCCGGAUUUAUUGGGCGUAAAGAGCUCGUAGGCGGCUCAGUAAGUCGGGUGUGAAACCUCCAGGCUCAACCUGGAGACGCCACCUGAUACUGCUGUGGCUAGAGUCCGGUAGGGGAGCGUGGAAUUCCUGGUGUAGCGGUGAAAUGCGCAGAUAUCAGGAGGAACACCAGCGGCGAAGGCGGCGCUCUGGGCCGGAACUGACGCUGAGGAGCGAAAGCGUGGGUAGCAAACAGG
rnacentral:rRNA from 1 species